rnacentral:rRNA from 1 species
UACCCUGCUUCCAAGAAAAGCCUCUAAGCUUCAGUUAUGAAGAGACCGUACCGCAAACCGACACAGGUGGGCAGGAUGAGAAUUCUAAGGCGCUUGAGAGAACUCAGGAGAAGGAACUCGGCAAAUUAGCACCGUAACUUCGGGAGAAGGUGCGCCCUGGUAGAUUGAAGGCCCUCGCGGCUGGAGGUCGAAAGGGUUGCAGUGAAAUGGUGGCUGCGACUGUUUAAUAAAAACACAGCACUCUGCAAACACGAAAGUGGACGUAUAGGGUGUGACGCCUGCCCGGUGCCGGAAGGUUAAGUGAUGGGGUGCAAGCUCUUGAUCGAAGCCCCGGUAAACGGCGGCCGUAACAAUAACGGUCCUAAGGUAGCGAAAUUCCUUGUCGGGUAAGUUCCGACCUGCACGAAUGGCGUAACGAUGGCCACACUGUCUCCUCCUGAGACUCAGCGAAGUUGAAAUGUUUGUGAAGAUGCAAUCUCCCCGCGGCAAGACGGAAAGACCCCAUGAACCUUUACUGUAGCUAUGCAUUGGACUUUGAACCGGUCUGUGUAGGAUAGGUGGGAGGCUUUGAAGCGUGGACGCUAGUUCGCGUGUAGCCAACCUUGAAAUACCACCCUGGUUUGUUUGAGGUUCUAACCAUGGCCCGUGAAUCCGGGUCUGGGACCGUGCAUGGUAGGCAGUUUGACUGGGGCGGUCUCCUCCCAAAGCGUAACGGAGGAGUACGAAGGUACGCUAGGUACGGUCGGACAUCGUGCUAAUAGUGCAAUGGCAUAAGCGUGCUUGACUGCGAGACCCACACGUCGAGCAGGUACGAAAGUAGGUCAUAGUGAUCCGGUGGUUCUGUAUGGAAGGGCCAUCGCUCAACGGAUAAAAGGUACUCUGGGGAUAACAGGCUAAUACCGCCCAAGAGUUCAUAUCGACGGCGGUGUUUGGCACCUCGAUGUCGGCUCAUCACAUCCUGGGGCUGUAGCCGGUCCCAAGGGUAUGGCUGUUCGCCAUUUAAAGUGGUACGUGAGCUGGGUUUAAAACGUCGUGAGACAGUUUGGUCCCUAUCUGCCGUGGGCGCUGGAAAUUUGAAGGGACCUGCUCCUAGUACGAGAGGACCGGAGUGGACGAACCUCUGGUGUACCGGUUAUGACGCCAGUCGUAUCGCCGGGUAUCUAAGUUCGGAAGAGAUAAACGCUGAAAGCAUCUAAGCGUGAAACUCGCCUUAAGAUAAGAUUUCCCUGGGGACUCGAUCCCCCUGAAGGGUCGUCGAAGACCACGACGUUGAUAGGUCAGGUGUGGAAGCGCAGUAAUGCGUUAAGCUAACUGAUACUAAUUGCCCGUGCGGCUUGCU